rnacentral:lncRNA from 1 species
UGUUUGUAUCACCGCAGUAUCCAAGCGGUGGAUACCCAGGGUAGUUUAGAAUGUAUUUACGCUCGUGCUGAGGUGCGGAGUGUAUUUUUACAGCAGUGUUUAGGCUGUUCUGGAUUGUUGGGUGCAGUUGGGGUUGACGGUGGGCCCAGAUUGUUGUUGUUGCAUCCGAUUGUGCCGAGGGCACGUGAGUUCAGUUGUUAGACCCUGUUUACUUGACUAUAGCCUGUAAGAGCUUGAUUGAGCUCGACAGAGAUACGCUUGCAUACUCGGUUGGGUAACG